UCUGUCUUUCUUUUUCUUUUUUUUUCUUUUUCUUUUUCUCUUUUUUUUCUUUUUCUUUCUUUUUUUUUUUUUUUUUUUACAUUGAACAGACAGGAUCUCUGUCCUUUCCGUUUAAACAGGCUGGACCGGUUCAAGUUCCGAGUCAGACCAGGGGUGGGGGCGGCGAGUGAGCGCGCGCGGAGGAGGGGGGGCGCGGGGCCCGGAGAGGGCGAGACGCGGGGGGGCUCCCGCGCGGCGGCGGGCGGCGGCCGGGAGCAGGACGGCGUGGGGCGGCGCCGGCCCCGCCGCGCCUCCCCCGUCGGCGGCCCCGGCGAGCGGCGGUGGUACAGUCCGAGACAGCCCCCGGCUAUAAAUAGCGCCAGGCGCAUGGCUCUUCGGGAGGCGCUGAGAUUCCGGGCCCGGCGGCCGCGGGGAGCGGGUGCCCGUUAGGAACGGGGCUGCUGGCCUCCUCUUUGCCUUUUGGGGGUUCUUUUUGUAAUAGCAGCAGACUAGAAAAAGCGAGUCGGCUUGGAGGGAGUCCGCCCAGCGAUCCGAGUGCGCAUUGAUCAGUGUCGAGAGAAAAAAAGCUACAUAAAUAUAUAUUAUGUGGAUAAAUCUGUAGACAAGAGCUCUCUCGCGCGCGCUCUCUUUCUCUCCGUGUCUCCCUGCUUUUUUCCUCCUCGAAUCCCCAACCUGCCAGAGCAGCCCCAAAUCUUCGCCCUCCCGCACGGCAUCUGCCGCCACCCGAGCCACCUGGGAGGUCGGAACUGGGGGAGCAGUUGGGCCUCGCUGGGUGGGGGGGGCGGGACGGGGCGUAGAGAUCCGGGGCCCGAUCCUCGUCCCAGCCCGCCUGCGAAGGCUGGAGGUGGGUGUUUCGGUCCCGGACGGCCUCCCCCGCCCGGAAGCGCGGCGGCUGGUCCGGCAAGCGGCUGGCGGGAGGAAGGUAGGAGCCGGCGUCUCGGCCGGUUCGCCCGCCGUGGAAGGAGGCAGGGAUCUGGGUGCCGUGCCGGGUCGCUGAGCCAGCGCGAGGGACCGGCCCUCGUCUGCGUUACCGGUUCAAAUUGAAAUUUUUUCCUUAAUUCACCAUCAAAGAAAUAAAGCCCCCGAAUCGCUAUCCGGACUGCGGCCGGACCCAGACUCGCGCGGCGUGCGCUGCCCCCGCGGGCUUCGUUGGCGGCGCCUCCCUCUCCAGAAGUGCGAGGCUCGGAGUCGCGUCUGCGGGCUGGAGCCAAGGGUCCGGCCGCCCAGCCCGACUUUGCCGGGUUCCCCACCAGGCCCGCAGGGGCCAGAGCCUCGGCCGCGCAGGAGAGGGAGUGGCCGGCGCGGGAGCCUGGUCCAAGCAGCCCCGCCUCUGGGGGCGAAUGCUGGUGGUGAACUUGGGUUGGGAGAGCAGAUUUUCAUUUUAAUGAUAUUUACCUGCCCCUCAUCCUCUCCCACAUUUGCUUUUCCAGGGCAGCCUCUUCUCCAUGGCUUCAGAAGCCGGGCAAAUUAAAAUAACGCGCCCGCUCCCCUGCGAGUUGCAGGGGCAAAGCUGCCCGCCUGACUCUGGCUGGACCCCCACCGGCCCCCUUCGGGUGUCCUGGGUUUCUCUUUUCUUACCCUCGGAUUACAUGAUGUUAUUAGACAAUAUGUUUACAAUUUUAUUUAAAGAAAUGAGACCCCAGCUGCCUGAAUACCGAAACCAAGCCCGUUUGGUACAACCACAACGCGGAGCUCUCCAGCGCCAGGAGGAGGCCUGAGGAGGCCCCGAGGUUCGCAGCCCCAGGCCCCAAGCCCACCUGGGACACCUCUCCCUGAGGAUCCAGGGCGAGUGACCAAACAGCAAGUACAAUUCUGAGAGCUGUGGAACUUCAUCCUUUCAUUUUAAGAUUCUUCUGUCUUUUCUUGAUGGAAUCGUGUAUUUAAAUCUUGCAAUCACCGCUGGGAAGUGAGCUGUAUCAUCUUGAGAAAUCAGACCACAGAGUCGGGCCUGCAGCUGGCAGGCUAGGUCAUCUUUAAUCGCUUAACCCUUCAUAUCAAAGGAUGGGUUGUAGCAGCAGAUUCUUCCUCAAGAAUUUGCCGUGGCAGAUUUUCUCAAGGAAAAGCUGGGAGUUAAAAUGAAGCAGAGUAUGUACAGCAAAAACCUUGCCUUAAAUGCACAUUAACAAGUCAAGUGUGGGCAGUGCUGGCGUUCUCCAGUGAUACUUUACUGAGGCCUUGGGAAGAAAGCCAAGAAGAAACCAGCCCAGGGAGGAUGCUGAGGAUGCUGCACUGUGACUUGUUCCUCAGCAGCGAAAGGAUUUCCCUCAUCCCCGCUUCCAGCUCGUCUUCAUGGGGUGGGCAUCACUUCCGCACCUGUUACCCAGGAGCGCACCCCGGGCGUCUUGACUCCUUGAAGAACGGUGCCUAUGAAAUGUGGCUCUGAGAGAAACAAGAUUCUCUUCGCUGCCUGAGGCCUGCCUUUCGGGAACCUGCCACCUCUUUGGAUAAUUGACUCUAGGGAUGCUUGUCCCUCUCAAGGGAGACCACGUGCACUUCCAGGGACAAGACUUUUACCCUGCAGACCACAACAGGGUAUCCGGAUGUAAUUAUAAUGAUUGGCCUAAUCGAGAUGGCUCUACUCACGUGUAAAAGCAGAGGUUGUGUGAGAAAAUUCUGUGUGUGUGUGUGUGUGUGUGUGUGCGCGCGUAAAUGCAAGAAUGUUGGCUCAGAAGUCAGGGCACAUGACUUUUACAGUUCCAGCUCCAGUCCUAUCUUUUUAAACAAAUUUUUAAAUAGUUUUUACUUAUUUAUUCAUUUAAGUGAUCAGUACACCCAACAUGGAGCUUAAAUUCACAAUCCCAAGAUCAAGAGUUGCACGCUCUUCUAACUGAGCCAGCCAGGCACCCCAGCUCCAGUCCUGCCUUACAAGAAAUUUCUACUCGGUGUGACCUGAGGGAGCUUAGGGUAGAAACUAAUCUGCUAUUAAUACCAGUCCUUUGGGUCUGAAGGACAUUUUUUUUUUUUUCUAAGAAUCCUGUCUUAACACAGAGGAAAACUCACAAACUCCUUUGUUCUUGGUUAACUCCUAAGUGGAAGUUAGCAGACAAGGCAGGGGGUGGAUGCUUUGGAGAUACUAGGGAACUCUGAUGCACAUGUGGACACCAGGACUUAUUACACUUCAUACUUUAGGUUGUAUCCAGGCCUGGACCUGCCCAGCUUUCUUGCGAAUAAAUGCAUGUCACAUACUGCUCAAAAGCAUGUGCUACAUCAGUUAGGUCAGAGGCUCAAUAUGACUGAUCUUUCUUCUUCUUUUCGUUUUCAUGUGGUAGAUUUAAGGAUAUUAUGUGUAG